ACAUCCAGCUCACUGUACAACCUAUCUCUUAUACACACUUGUUCUAAAGCAAAAAUUUUAAAAAAGUGUUUGAAUUGAAUUUGUUUUCCAUUUCUGCAGCUUGAACCUAGAUUCCAAAAGAAAUUCUCAUCCUUCAAGUUCUUGAACGUGGUGACAUUCAGGUAAUUUGUCUUAUUCUGUUACAAUUUAAAAGUACUGUCCUAGAAUCUGAUAUUUUAAAUAAUAUAUAUAUAUUUUUCAUUUUGCAGAAAAGGAUCAAUCAUCAAUGAAAUGAACCUUGGCUUUGCAAGCACAUUUGUUCCUAAUAACACUCAGAUUGCAAAUGUUUUGAUCGAUGCAUCUCCAAUUGUCACUGGCUUCGACAUUGAAGGCAGCUCCAUCACUGUGAAUGGCAUAGUUUCAAGUGGAGUGAGCCACACGAUCAGUCUCAUCACUGCAUCCUGCCUUGUACUGUUGUCAUGGCUACUGACAAGCCAACAAUAGCAUCAAUGCUGAUUUCCUUUUGAGUUGCCAUCAGAACAUGACUGCCAUCACUGACAUGAAAAGUCAAAUCAAAAUACAAUAUUUGUAAUUGUCUUAGGUGUUUUACGGCUUUGGAAAAAUGUACUACUAAUGAAACUUUGCACUUAACUGAUAUAUUUAUGACUUAUGAUUUCUGAGUGAAUUGGGUAUGCUUGUCGAACUGAAACUGUUUCUGUGUGGGAACAUCCAGGAUCCUGGAACAGACAGAAUGACACAGACAACUUUAUACACACGGUCCACUGUAUCAUCACUAGAAUAAUAAGCCAAACUAUAUAAGAACACUAUCUAUUAAACCAUGGGAAGUCAGAAAAUAAUUACUGCACUAUUGCACUAUUAAUGUAAAAAUUAAUCUUGUUUCACUGAGCACUGUGCUUUAGCUAUAUUUAAUGUUAAGUCAAUUGAUAAUGCUGUGUUGUUCAGUCUUGUUCACCAAACAAGUAAAAUCAGCCACACUGGAAAGUAAAACCAUGAAAUCUCUCUCACCAUUGUCUGAAUGCAAUUGUUGAUACAUUUUUUUUAAACAUGCAGAUUGAGAAAUGUCAAUGUUAGAUUUCAAACUGUUAAGUAAGUCUACAUUAAAACAUUUUUUGUCAUUUUUACAAGAAAACAAUCAAAAUCCUCCCGUUUUACUUUGAUCUAAAUUUUUCUAUAGUCUCCAAAUGCAAAUAAAAUUAAUUUUCAUUAAAUUCAGACAACAUAACAUAACAUCAUGAUAACAUCUCUGUAGAAAGCAUAUUGUAAAGAGAACAAGAGCUUUAACUUAAAUGAAGGAACAAAUGGAGCUCAUAGUGGGCUCUUAAUGAAUUUUAUCAAGGGUCAUGGUAAACACAUGUCAGAAAAAUGUCAGUUUUCUUAUUUAUACAAUGUGCAUGUAUGUAAUCAUAAUGUAUCUAGCUAUAUUCUCAGAUUUCUUGUAAUUUGUACAAUUUCUGUCAGAAACUUUACAAUGAUCGGAAUACAAAAUCUUUGAAGAAUUGAACCGUCUCUGUUGUCAUGUGUUGCAAUUUUGGUGGGUUGGUCAGG
rnacentral:lncRNA from 1 species